rnacentral:rRNA from 1 species
UACGAAGGGGGCUAGCGUUGUUCGGAAUUACUGGGCGUAAAGCGCGUGUAGGCGGGGCUUUAAGUCAGGGGUGAAAUGCCAGGGCUCAACCUUGGAACUGCCUUUGAUACUGGGGACCUUGAGUCCGGGAGAGGUGAGUGGAAUUGCGAGUGUAGAGGUGAAAUUCGUAGAUAUUCGCAAGAACACCAGUGGCGAAGGCGGUUGCCUGGGGCUUUGCUGACGCUGAUGCGCGAAAGCGUGGGGAGCGAUCCGG